GGAAUAUUUACAUUAUACUACCAGUUGAGCAUCCCAAAUCAGAAAGUCCAAAAUCUGAAAUACUCCAAUGAGCAUUGCCUUUGAGAGUCAUGUUGGUGCUCAGGUUUUAGAUUUUGGAGCAUUUUGAAUGUGAAAUUUUCUGAUUAGGGAUACUCACCCUGUACUAGAUCUGAUCAAAGAGAUAUACGUGGAAAUACAAUAUCAACUUCUGGGAUGCAUUCUUAAAGAAAGCGGUCUGCCCUCUCCCCUCUGCUGUCCCUCCUGCAGGGUGGAAUGCCGGCAUGUUCUUGGAGCACGAGGCAGACUUGGGAACUGAGUCAACACAUGGCGUAUCACUGAGACAGAGCAGCCCCAGAACACACACCGGGGAGUACAGGAGCCUAGGCCACGUACCCAACAUUGCAGGCAGAGAAAAAAGAAAGUGUAUUCCAUGUGGUGCAUUCCAGGCCUUAGAAUAAAAUUAAAAGGGAAAUCAAUGAAGACACAUCCACUGUUCACACUCUCAUCUUCAAUGUUUGACCAGUGGCUGAACUGUUUGGAGUUGCAGAUUGAUAUUUCUCUUUUAUAGUUUUAGGUGCUUGUAAUUGCUCUUUAAUGCUCAUGUUUACUCUUAUUCUGUGUGUCUUUAACUCAUAAAGACAGUUUUCCAUGAGA
rnacentral:lncRNA from 10 species